rnacentral:rRNA from 1 species
GAUGAACGCUGGCGGCGUGCCUAAUACAUGCAAGUCGAGCGAACGGACGAGAAGCUUGCUUCUCUGAUGUUAGCGGCGGACGGGUGAGUAACACGUGGUUAACCUACCUAUAAGACUGGGAUAACUUCGGGAAACCGGAGCUAAUACCGGAUGAUAUUUUGAACCGCAUGGUUCAAAAGUGAAAGACGGUCUUGCUGUCACUUAUAGAUGGAUCCGCGCUGCAUUAGCUAGUUGGUAAGGUAACGGCUUACCAAGGCAACGAUGCAUAGCCGACCUGAGAGGGUGAUCGGCCACACUGGAACUGAGACACGGUCCAGACUCCUACGGGAGGCAGCAGUAGGGAAUCUUCCGCAAUGGGCGAAAGCCUGACGGAGCAACGCCGCGUGAGUGAUGAAGGUCUUCGGAUCGUAAAACUCUGUUAUUAGGGAAGAACAUAUGUGUAAGUAACUGUGCACAUCUUGACGGUACCUAAGCAGAAAGCACGGCUAACUACGUG